rnacentral:rRNA from 1 species
UACGUAGGUGGCAAGCGUUGUCCGGAUUUAUUGGGCGUAAAGCGCGCGCAGGUGGUGCGGUAAGUCUGCCGUGAAAUCUCCCGGCUCAACUGGGAGGGGGCGGUGGAGACUGCCGGACUGGAGGGACUCAGAGGCCGGUGGAAUUCCCGGUGUAGUGGUGAAAUGCGUAGAGAUCGGGAAGAACACCAGUGGCGAAGGCGGCCGGCUGGGGGCGCCCUGACGCUGAGGCGCGAGAGCGUGGGGAGCAAACCGG